UGGUGGGGUUCCCGAGCGGCCAAAGGGAGCAGACUGUAAAUCUGCCGUCAUCGACUUCGAAGGUUCGAAUCCUUCCCCCACCACC
rnacentral:tRNA from 2 species